ACGGGGAUAAGACAUCGGAAGAGCUGCUUCCUUAUAGGAAGAAGUCAUAUUCUAGUGGCGGACGGGUGAGUAACGCGUGGGCAACCUGCCUUAUACAGGGGGAUAUCAGCAGGAAACAGCUGCUAAUACCGCAUAAGCGCACAGUACUGCAUGGUACAGUGUGAAAAACUGAGGUGGUAUAAGAUGGGCCCGCGUCUGAUUAGCUGGUUGGGAGGGUAACGGCCUACCAAGGCGACGAUCAGUAGCCGGCCUGAGAGGGCGGACGGCCACAUUGGGACUGAGACACGGCCCAGACUCCUACGGGAGGCAGCAGUGGGGAAUAUUGCACAAUGGGGGGAACCCUGAUGCAGCGACGCCGCGUGAGUGAAGAAGUAUUUCGGUACGUAAAGCUCUAUCAGCAGGGAAGAAAAAAGGACGGUACCUGUGUAAGAAGCCCCGGCUAACUACGUGCCAGCAGCCGCGGUAAUACGUAGGGGGCAAGCGUUAUCCGGAAUUACUGGGUGUAAAGGGAGCGUAGACGGCAAUGCAAGUCCGGAGUGGAAUGCGGCAGCUCAACUGCCGAACUGCUCUGGAAACUGUAUGGCUUGAGUGCAGGAGGGGUAAGCGGAAUUC
rnacentral:rRNA from 1 species